rnacentral:lncRNA from 1 species
ACCGAUUAUCAUGUUGAUCCUUUUCCAUAAACAUGACAUAAUGUAUUCUCUUGCAAUUUAACAGGUUUCUCCCAUACAGAGAACGUUCAAAUCUACAAGCAGAUAGUACAAGCCACUGGGCAUUUGAGAGGGAAAUGUCAAAAUUACAUCAGAAGUUCUAAUGCCGUCUAUAAAAUCCUUUACCCUUGAAUUUAAUAAUCGGGACACCGACACUCACAGGAAUCCAAAUCCUCGUCACCAGCAACAUCAACAUCUUCCCUCUGUGAAUGAAUAGGUCUCUGCGUUGGGACAGCUUUGGCAUCGUUUGCCAUCAAUACCCUCAAGUCAAAAUCUUACCUGACCACCCUCUCAAAAUGUCUAAUAAAAAGAAGGAUUCAACUAAAGUUUAAACCUAAAAACUAAAGAUAUCAUUUUUAUAAGAAAGAUUGGGUACAUCAACCCCAAGAUAAAUCCGGCACAAUCACCUAAUGAAUUCUCUUGCAAUUUAUCAGGCUUUUCCCAUACAGAACACGUUCAAAUCUACAAGCAGAUAGUACAGGCCACUGGGCAUUUGAGAGGGAAAUGUCAAAAUCACAUCACAAAUUCUAAUGCCGUCUAUAAAAUCCUUUACCCUUGAAUUUAAUAAUCGGGGCACCGACAUUCACAGGAAUCCAAAUCCUCAUCACCAGCAACAUCAACAUCUUCCCUCCGUGAAUGCAUCGGGCUCUGCGUUGGGGCAGCUUUGGCACAUUUUGCCAUCACUACCCUCAAGUCAAAAUCUUACCUGACCACCCUCUCAAAAUGUCUAAUAAAAAGAAGGAUUCAACUAAACUUAAAACCUAAAAACCAAAGAUAUCAUUUUCAUAAGAAAGAUUGGGUGCAUCAACCCUAAGAUAAAUCCGGCACAAUCGCAU